GUCUGUGAAUCUGAUAGGAACAGGGAUGGAACGGGAACAGAAAUAAACCAGCUGGCGUGCAACAAAGUGGUUUCCCACCGUCAUUCUCCACACACAGCGCAGAGGAGAGAGAGUUAGCCCAGACCCGCUACAUUUAGACUAAACAGACAGGAGACAAAUGGAGAAACAAGUUGAGCAGCAGUUCUCUCUGAGGAGCUGCAUCCUGACUGACGGGCUGCACAUAUCCAUCAAAGCCAGGACUGAAAGAGGGGAUUGUUUUUAGCAGCUGCAGAGUUAAAGCAGAGCUGCUGGAAGCUGGAAGUCCGUGGUGUUAUACAGCAGAGUGGAGAGCUGGAAACAGAAAAGAAGUCCUCAUAUUCCCUGGUUGAGGCCUGUGUCGUGGUGACUGGCACAUGCCUGUGCUUGUGAAUAGGCCUGUGAAUACCUGUAAAUUAUACUGUUCACUGGAAGACAACUGAAAAGAGUUUCCCCUGUGCAAUUCAUGCGAUAUUUCCAUCUGCUAAGCGUCAAAGACUCUGAGAAUAGAUGCAAUUUUCUCCCACUAUCAUCCGCAGAUUCACAGUCUCAAAAGUAGUUGCCCUUGUUGUGCGAAUCUGGAACAGAAAAGUGGAACUUUGUCUUCAGCUUGGAUUGCAAUACCACAUCAGAUCGCAAUACUGACAAGCACAAGCACUUAAACACUAUAUUAUAUGUCACAGUAAAGCGAGGAAUGAAUGACUAAAUGUAAGCUUAAAUAAUUUAAGAAGUGCCAGAUACGUGGGAUUCACAACACCACUGGCAUGUUCUGUAGUUAAGUGGGAUUUAGACUGUGAUGAUGCAGGGAUAUUUUUUCUUUACGCUGUGUAAGGUCUCUAUGGAUUAAACACACAUGCAUUUACUGUCAGUGAUUCAUAUAGUUAAAGCAUAAAGCUGGCAAAAUUCUACAUAAAAAGAAAUCUAAUUAGAAGACUAAACCAGCCACUUAACUGAUCCUUCUACAAAUACUACAAUAAAUAUGUGUGUGUAAAGUGUUGUAUAUUGUACUUAUCUGUGCCAUAGAGCUCCAUUCUUCUCCAAAACUUAUUAAAAACAUAGAAGCAUGCUAUUUAAUAUAAUUUAAUUUUGUGUCAGUGCAUCAUACGCUGUCCUCCUGCAGUUAAAACUCAGCUGUGCACAAAUUAUGCAUUAAUCUGCAGCAGAAUCUAGUCCCUGACCAAUUUACUAUUUACAUUUUUGAGUGACUUUGGGGAAGUAUUUGGGCCUUAAAAAAAACAACAACAACAUAUGUUUUUAAUCAGUUGUAAAGAUUUACAUGUCAAGUCAGAAUUAGUGGG
ensembl:lncRNA